GUCUUAAUUGGGCGUUAAGUUGCAGGGUAUAGACCCGAAACCCGGUGAUCUAGCCAUGGGCAGGUUGAAGGUUGGGUAACACUAACUGGAGGACCGAACCGACUAAUGUUGAAAAAUUAGCGGAUGACCUGUGGCUGGGGGUGAAAGGCCAAUCAAACCGGGAGAUAGCUGGUUCUCCCCGAAAGCUAUUUAGGUAGCGCCUCGUGAAUUCAUCUCCGGGGGUAGAGCACUGUUUCGGCUAGGGGGCCAUCCCGGCUUACCAACCCGAUGCAAACUGCGAAUACCGGAGAAUGUUAUCACGGGAGACACACGGCGGGUGCUAACGUCCGUCGUGAAGAGGGAAACAACCCAGACCGCCAGCUAAGGUCCCAAAGUCAUGGUUAAGUGGGAAACGAUGUGGGAAGGCCCAGACAGCCAGGAUGUUGGCUUAGAAGCAGCCAUCAUUUAAAGAAAGCGUAAUAGCUCACUGGUCGAGUCGGCCUGCGCGGAAGAUGUAACGGGGCUAAACCAUGCACCGAAGCUGCGGCAGCGAACGUAUCACCCAAGACAACUUUACGGAGUUGACGAUUGACGGAGCGAAGCGACGUCAAAGCGUUCAUUAAAGUCGAGUUGGCUUAGGGAUACGUUCGUUGGGUAGGGGAGCGUUCUGUAAGCCUGUGAAGGUGUGUCGUGAGGCAUGCUGGAGGUAUCAGAAGUGCGAAUGCUGACAUAAGUAACGAUAAAGCGGGUGAAAAGCCCGCUCGCCGGAAGACCAAGGGUUCCUGUCCAACGUUAAUCGGGGCAGGGUGAGUCGACCCCUAAGGCGAGGCCGAAAGGCGUAGUCGAUGGGAAACGGGUUAAUAUUCCCGUACUUGGUGUUACUGCGAAGGGGGGACGGAGAAGGCUAUGUUGGCCGGGCGACGGUUGUCCCGGUUUAAGCGUGUAGGUGUGUGUUCCAGGUAAAUCCGGUUCACUUUAACACUGAGGCGUGACGACGAGGCACUACGGUGCUGAAGCAACAAAUGCCCUGCUUCCAGGAAAAGCCUCUAAGCAUCAGGUAACACGAAAUCGUACCCCAAACCGACACAGGUGGUCAGGUAGAGAAUACCAAGGCGCUUGAGAGAACUCGGGUGAAGGAACUAGGCAAAAUGGUGCCGUAACUUCGGGAGAAGGCACGCUGACACGUAGGUGAAGUGAUUUACUCAUGGAGCUGAAGUCAGUCGAAGAUACCAGCUGGCUGCAACUGUUUAUUAAAAACACAGCACUGUGCAAACACGAAAGUGGACGUAUACGGUGUGACGCCUGCCCGGUGCCGGAAGGUUAAUUGAUGGGGUCAGCGCAAGCGAAGCUCCUGAUCGAAGCCCCGGUAAACGGCGGCCGUAACUAUAACGGUCCUAAGGUAGCGAAAUUCCUUGUCGGGUAAGUUCCGACCUGCACGAAUGGCGUAAUGAUGGCCAGGCUGUCUCCACCCGAGACUCAGUGAAAUUGAACUCGCUGUGAAGAUGCAGUGUACCCGCGGCAAGACGGAAAGACCCCGUGAACCUUUACUAUAGCUUGACACUGAACAUUGAGCCUUGAUGUGUAGGAUAGGUGGGAGGCUUUGAAGUGUGGACGCCAGUCUGCAUGGAGCCGACCUUGAAAUACCACCCUUUAAUGUUUGAUGUUCUAACGUGGACCCGUAAUCCGGGUUGCGGACAGUGUCUGGUGGGUAGUUUGACUGGGGCGGUCUCCUCCUAAAGAGUAACGGAGGAGCACGAAGGUUGGCUAAUCCUGGUCGGACAUCAGGAGGUUAGUGCAAUGGCAUAAGCCAGCUUGACUGCGAGCGUGACGGCGCGAGCAGGUGCGAAAGCAGGUCAUAGUGAUCCGGUGGUUCUGAAUGGAAGGGCCAUCGCUCAACGGAUAAAAGGUACUCCGGGGAUAACAGGCUGAUACCGCCCAAGAGUUCAUAUCGACGGCGGUGUUUGGCACCUCGAUGUCGGCUCAUCACAUCCUGGGGCUGAAGUAGGUCCCAAGGGUAUGGCUGUUCGCCAUUUAAAGUGGUACGCGAGCUGGGUUUAGAACGUCGUGAGACAGUUCGGUCCCUAUCUGCCGUGGGCGCUGGAGAACUGAGGGGGGCUGCUCCUAGUACGAGAGGACCGGAGUGGACGCAUCACUGGUGUUCGGGUUGUCAUGCCAAUGGCACUGCCCGGUAGCUAAAUGCGGAAGAGAUAAGUGCUGAAAGCAUCUAAGCACGAAACUUGCCCCGA
rnacentral:rRNA from 1 species